rnacentral:sRNA from 1 species
GAUUGCGCUGGUUACCUGCGGAGUCCACUUCCUUGGCCGCCCUUGCUACACUGGCUGAUUGUUGUGCAGCCGGCGCCAUGUCUGUGAGCGAGAUCUUCGUGGAGCUGCAGGGCUUUUUGGCUGCCGAGCAGGACAUCCGAGAGGCGAGCCCCCUCCCUUCCCCAUUUCCUUUGCCUUUCCAUGCCUAGUUGGGCCACUUCGCCCGGCCCUCCUCUGUCGCUCAGUCUCGGGCGGUGGGGACGCCUCCGAGGGAAAUCAGAAAAGUUGUACAGAGUUUAGAACAAACAGCUCGAGAGAUUUUAACUCUACUGCAAGGGGUCCAUCAGGGUGCUGGGUUUCAGGACAGUAAGUUCUUUGUUUUGUAUCCAAUUAUCAGUCUCUUAUUUAGAGGGAGAGUUUCUAUCCAGAAGACAUUUUAUAA